AUUGGUAAUGGUGAGAGGUUAGCAUGUUUUGUUGUAGUCUCUGUUAUUGGUAAUGGUGAGAGGUUAGCAUGUUUUGUUGUAGCCUCUGUUAUUGGUAAUGGUGAGAGGUUAACAUGUUUUGUUGUAGUCUCUGUUACUGGUAAUGGUGAGAGGUUAGCAUGUUUUGUUGUAGUCUCUGUUAUUGGUAAUGGUGAGAGGUUAGUAUGUUUUGUUGUAGCCUCUGUUAUUGGUAAUGGUGAGAGGUUAGCAUGUUUUGUUGUAGCCUCUGUUAUUGGUAAUGGUGAGAGGUUAGCAUGUUUUGUUGUAGCCUCUGUUAUUGGUAAUGGUGAGAGGUUAGUAUGUUUUGUUGUAGUCUCUGUUAUUGGUAAUGGUGAGAGGUUAGCAUGUUUUGUUGUAUCCUCUGUUAUUGGUAAUGGUGAGAGGUUAGCAUGUUUUGUUGUAGUCUCUGUUAUUGGUAAUGGUGAGAGGUUAGCAUGUUUUGUUGUAGACUCUGUUAUUUAUUAUCUAGAUCUUUUUUAAUCAUGGCAUCCUCAAAUCAAAUCAAAUCAAAUUUUAUUUGUCACACACAUGGUUAGCAGAUGUUAAUGCGAGUGUAGCGAAAUGCUUGUGCUUCUAGUUCCGACAAUGCAGUAAUAACGAGCAAGUAAUCUAACUAACAAUUCCAAAAAAAAACUACUGUCUUAUACACAGUGUAAGGGGAUAAAGAAUAU
ensembl:lncRNA